rnacentral:misc_RNA from 1 species
GAUGAAGAACGCAGCGAAAUGCGAUACGUAAUGUGAAUUGCAGAAUUCAGUGAAUCAUCGAAUCUUUGAACGCACAUUGCGCCCCCUGGUAUUCCGGGGGGCAUGCCUGUCCGAGCGUCAUUACAACCCUCAAGCUCAGCUUGGUGUUGGGCCCCGCCGCCCCGGCGGGCCCUAAAGUCAGUGGCGGUGCCGUCCGGCUCCGAGCGUAGUAAUUCUUCUCGCUCUGGAGGUCCGGUCGUGUGCUCGCCAUCAACCCCCAAUUUUUUUCAGGUUGACCUCGGAUCAGGUAGGGAUACCCGCUGAACUUAAGCAUAUCAAUAAGCGGAGGA